UUGGAGGGCAGUCUGGUGCCAGCAGCCGCGGUAAUUCCAGCUCCAAUAGCGUAUAUUAAAGUUGUUGCAGUUAAAAAGCUCGUAGUUGAACUUCGGGGUCUACCCAUUGGUCAGGCUUAAUUGUCUGUACUGGUGAGAUGGAUCUCUACCUUCUGAGGAACUUUCAUGCCAUUUAUUUGGUGUGAUGGGAAAUCAGGACUGUUACUUUGAAAAAAUUAGAGUGUUUAAAGCAGACUAUCGUCUGAAUACAUUAGCAUGGAAUAAUGAAAUAGGACGGACUGAUUCUAUUUCGUUGGUUUCUAGGAUCACCGUAAUGAUUAAUAGGGAUAGUUGGGGGCAUUAGUAUUCAAUUGUCAGAGGUGAAAUUCUUGGAUUUAUUGAAGACUAACUACUGCGAAAGCAUUUGCCAAGGAUGUUUUCAUUAAUCAAGGACGAAAGUUAGGGGAUCGAAGACGAUCAGAUACCGUCGUAGUCUUAACCAUAAACUAUGCCGACUAGGGAUCGGACGAAGUUAAUUUUAUAAUGACGCGUUCGGCGCCUUACGGGAAAC
rnacentral:rRNA from 1 species